GACGAACCGUCCUAACGUUAUUCGGAUUCACUGGGCUUAAAGGGCGCGUAGGCGGUUUACCAAGUCCGGGGUGAAAUCUUUCGGCUCAACCGGAAAAGUGCCUUGGAUACUGGUGAACUCGAGGGAGGUAGGGGCAUGUGGAACUUCCGGUGGAGCGGUGAAAUGCGUUGAUAUCGGAAGGAACGCCGGUGGCGAAAGCGACGUGCUGGCCCUCUUCUGACGCUGAGGCGCGAAAGCUAGGGGAGCAAACGGG
rnacentral:rRNA from 1 species